AAAGAUCUAAUCUCAGUUGGUAAAGAAUCUGCCUGCAAUGCAGGAGACCUGGGUUUGAUCCCUGGGUUGUGA
rnacentral:tRNA from 1 species